rnacentral:rRNA from 1 species
CGUGUAGGCGGUCGGCCAAGUCUGAUGUGAAAGCCCGGGGCUCAGCUCCGGAAGUGCGUCGGAAACUAGUCGGCUGGAGCGCGAUAGAGGAGGGUGGAAUUCCUGGUGUAGCGGUGAAAUGCGUAGAUAUCAGGAGGAACACCGGCGGCGAAGGCGGCCCUCUGGAUCGUUGCUGACGCUGAGACGCGAAAGCGUGGGGAGCAAACAGGAUUAGAUACCCUGGUAGUCCACGCUGUAAACUAUGGGUACUAGGUGUUUGGGGUAUUGACCCCCUGAGUGCCGCAGUUAACGCAUUAAGUACCCCGCCUGGGGACUACGGCCGCAAGGUUAAA